UGAGCUCGAAAUUAGUAAAUCAGAAAUGGCAAAAUUUUUAUCCCUCCUCAAAAACUGCAAACUUAUUUUUUUUUCCCCGCUCCCAAUUUCCACAAUCAUAAUCAAAAUCUAAUCUUUCUCCUCUCUAUCGCAGCUCCGGAUCCCUUCUCAUUUGCUCGCUCUCGCGCGUGAACUUACGUUCAAUUUCUUUUUUUUUCUUUCUCUCUCUUUCUCCCCCCUUUUAUUUCAAAUUAAUUUUCUGCAAUUUGUGCAGGUUCAUCAGAGGCUACAUGGCAUUCAAGAUUCCUCAUAGUUAAUUAAUGGUUGAUCGUGAGCAAUGCGCUUCUGUUCACCGUGGAUCCUGCGAUCGCACUCAGAUGCGAUCAAUUUCUAUGAUUAUAUGGUGGUUUCGUAGAGUGAUGGUCUGGCCUGUGGACUUUAAAGAAGUCUUGGCAAUACAUGUAGCAGAGCGUCCCACUCACGGCUCAACAAACUGACAGUUUUUGUGUCAGGUGAUGAGGUGUCCAAGGGUGUCAAAUCUAUCAGUGUUGGGUAUAAUUUUGGAUGUUUCUAGUUUGAAAAAUCCAAGUAUUUUCGGAAUGAUCUGGGAAAUCAUGCUGCAGAUUUUAUUCUUCUAUUUUUUGGUCAGUAGUAAACUAGAUGCAUUAUUCCAUUUAUUUGGAAUUUUUUGUUUUUUUAUUGAAUUAUUUGGUUCCCCAAAACUGUGAGCGUACUGUAAGUCUGUAACAACUUAAAAUUGUUUUUUAAGUAUUAAACAUUUAAUGGCCAAGUUUAUUUUUACUCCAACAGUCCUUAUUCUGUUACAGUCAAAAUUAAAAAU